GGAUAGCUCAGUUGGCUAGAGCAUGGUGCUGAUAACGCCAAGGUUGCAGGUUUGAUCCCUAUAAUGGACAGCUCCA